rnacentral:rRNA from 1 species
UGCCAGCAGCCGCGGUAAUACGGAGGGUGCAAGCGUUGUUCGGAAUUAUUGGGCGUAAAGGGGAGGUAGGUGGUCUUGUUUGUCGAGGGUGAAAUCCCGGGGCUUAACCCCGGACGUGCCUUCGAAACGGCAAGACUAGAGUGCUGGAGAGGCUUGUGGAAUUCCCGGUGUAGCGGUGAAAUGCGUAGAGAUCGGGAGGAACAUCAGAGGCGAAGGCGGCAAGCUGGACAGUUACUGACACUAAACUCCGAAAGCGUGGGGAGCAAACAGGAUUAGAUA